UGGGGAAUUUUGGACAAUGGGCGCAAGCCUGAUCCAGCCAUGCCGCGUGCGGGAAGAAGGCCUUCGGGUUGUAAACCGCUUUUGUCAGGGAAGAAAUCUUCUGAGUUAAUACCUCGGGAGGAUGACGGUACCUGAAGAAUAAGCACCGGCUAACUACGUGCCAGCAGCCGCGGUAAUACGUAGGGUGCAAGCGUUAAUCGGAAUUACUGGGCGUAAAGCGUGCGCAGGCGGUUUUGUAAGACAGAGGUGAAAUCCCCGGGCUCAACCUGGGAACUGCCUUUGUGACUGCAAGGCUUGAGUGCGGCAGAGGGGGAUGGAAUUCCGCGUGUAGCAGUGAAAUGCGUAGAUAUGCGGAGGAACACCGAUGGCGAAGGCAAUCCCCUGGGCCUGCACUGACGCUCAUGCACGAAAGCGUGGGGAGCAAACAGGAUUAGAUACCCUGGUAGUCCACGCCCUAAACGAUGUCAACUGGUUGUUGGGAAGGUUCCUUCUCAGUAACGUAGCUAACGAGUGAAGUUGACCGCCUGGGGAGUACGGCCGCAAGGUUG
rnacentral:rRNA from 1 species